AACCACAGAAACCCAGGGACUGGAGGACACAAGCUGCACUCCGCCACAUUGUAGCACCAGUGGUUUUCUGCAGGAAAGAAGAGCCUAUUUGUUAUCCUUAAAGACAAAAGACAACAAGCCAAACUAUUGCACAGCAAGACAUACAGUUACCACAGGAUUUGUCGUAGUUAUCUCACUGCUACAGCUGCUUCCAGAAACUCUUACUAAGCAGAAGUAUGUUUUGACCUACGAGGUCAGACAAGACCAUGUGGAGCUGUUCUUCAGCGCUGUUCGGAGAUUGGUUCAAGGCUGCCUUCCGUCACCUUGUGACACGCUGCGGUGUUCAAGGAGGAACAACAGGAAAUGUAACCGCACAGGACAAGACAGACUUUGUUCGAGUGCCGUCUGGAAGGAGAAUUUUAGAACCUGAUGUGGGAAAUUCACCAUUUGAGGUCUGAGGCAGUCUGGUACACGACCACACAUAUCUGCCAAUGAAGUUCAUUGCAGGGUGGAUGAGUGAAAACUGCCGUGUGAGCCUCAUAACCAUAACCACACAACCUCCAGGAUUCAUGGAUCCUUCUACAAUACAAAGGUCUCCAAGUGCAUGACGAAGAUAAACAAGCCCAUGCCAUCACACUACCUCAACCAUGUUUAACGCUGGGCAGGAUGAACUUUUCUUUAAAUUCU